rnacentral:misc_RNA from 1 species
UCGAGUUACCGCUCUACAACCCUUUGUGAACAUACCUAACUGUUGCCUCGGCGGGCAGGGGGUCCCCCCGGGGACGCCCUCCCGGCCCCGCCCCCCUACCAGGGGACGUGGCGCCCGCCGGAGGAUACCCAACUCUAUUUUAACGACGUUUCUUCUGAGUGGCACAAGCAAAUAAUUA